UAAAAUAUAUGAUUCUGAUGACAUUCUACAAGAAAGUUUUAUCUGUGAUAUGAUAAAUACUCUAAAGGAAUGAAAUAGCUAUAUAUAAUAUAAAAUAUAUGUAUAUGCGUGUGUGUGUGUACAUAUAUAUAUGUAUGCCAAUAUGUAGAAGAUUGAAUAAAUAUUCUGUUCCUCUUCUAUAGUUGAUAUAUAUGAAAAUAGAAAAUGGAUCAUGAAGAGGAAUUUCUAAAUAAUUUUUUUACUCAAGUAACACAGUUAUGCUCAGAUAAAGCAAAAGAACUUGUUGAGAAAGAACGAGAAUCAUGCAGACAAACACAAAUGGGUCCAUGGGGAAUGUUGUUGAUGACAUUACCACAAAUAGCAUUUACAGAGCGCUCUUAUGCAGAUCUUGGUUUUCUUCACACUAAAAACAAAGGCUUCCUGAGGAAAGAUAAUUCCUUAAAAACUGUCUAUGAAUCAUUAAAAUCAGAUCUUCGAAGGUUAGAAGAAAUGACAAGAGGAACAAAUGCCAUCGGUGCUAUAGUUGCAGAGGUUUCUAGUCAACUUUAUCAAUUCAUUGUUGCAAGGAUCCAGUUAAUAGAUUUCUACGAAAAAAUGCACAGUAUGAGCAUUAACAACAAAGUAAUGAAAUAUCAAGAAUUAUUACAAUCUAUUAAUACAAUAGUACAAACACAUUCUUUGUCUUGUUCUCAUUUGGCACUAACGGCUAUAAAAACAACUUUGACUUUGGAAUGUGAAAUAUUGGUUCAACUAACAGAAGCGCAUAUAGAAAUACAACACUGGAGAUUUUUACCUACUCUUAUGGCACUUUUUGGAGCACAGACACGAAUGUCAGCAUGGGAAAGAACUUUACAAAGCAAAGAGUCAUGGAAAUUGGGCUUUGGCGCUACAUUUCUUAAAGCUAAUCAACAGCCAGCAUUGUAUCAGUGGUUAGUAAAAUUAAAAAAUGCCAUAUUAGCAAAAUGUUCUUUAUAUUUUCAUACAACACUGAGCCAACAAGCUACUCCAGGAGAAAUGAGAAGUAUAAUGAGUAAACAAAGUGUGGAUUAUUAUCACAAAAUUCAAAGUUUUCAACGUAAACACGAUGUAGUAGCUGUUUUAAUAGUAUUUGAUUCUAGAGGAAUGAAAGAUUCAGGACCAGGUUAUAGGCAUUCCGGUAGGAAAUCUGAAGUAUCCGAAGACUUCACAGUUGUUGUUAGUUGUCCAUAUGCAUUUACUCAAAAACCAUUAAUCCAUUGGGAUAAUAUACAAAACAAGAUAAGAGAACGUUAUGCAGAACUUCUUACUAUGGAUAAAAUAAUUUAUGCUAAGAGUUUAAGGGAUUUAUGUACAUAUGCACUGUAUAAUGUGGAUCCCAAAAUGACUUUAGUGACUAUAUAUGAGACUGAGAAACAGAAGGACAAAGAAAGGCAUGUCUCUACAUUUAUGUCCGAUAUGUGUACACAAAUCAAAUGCAACAAAAUUUAUGAAUCUUUGAAAUUGGCGAAAUAAGAAAAAUAAGAACAAACAAUUAUAAAUAAUCUACAGAGAUGUGCACCAUAAUCCUUUUGCAAUCCCUUUGUCACCCAAAAGAGAAUUACUUAUUAUCAUCUAAAAAAAAGAAAAGAUCAAAGAAAAGAUUUAAUAUUGUAAUACACACGGUAGGAAGAACAUGAAGUCGUCGGAUUUCUAUCACAAAGGCGAUUACAAAGAGUAUUACAAACUUUUACAAUUCUUUAUGCGUAUAUGCGGUCUCUGGCCUUAUCAAUCGUUUUUCGCUAAAUAUUUUUUUAUAACGAUGACAAUAUUCUUAAGCGAAGGGAUACUCGUUGGACAGGUAUUUACACAUUUGCGUGCGAGCUGUGUACGUAUGCGUGCGUGUGUGUGUAAUAUAUAAUAUAUAAUAUAUAUAUACAAUCAUCAGUAAAGAUAUAUGAGAAUGAAAAAAAGACAAAUUAACAACAAAAAAAUAGAAAAUCUCUCUGUUGAAAUGUACUAAUUUUUUUUCAAUCUAGUUAAUAGAGGUAAUACAAAUUCGAACAGAUUUAAACGAAGUGAUGGAUUGUAUACCUAAUUUAUUGAUAUCCAUCAUUGUUGGAAUAAAAUUCAUAGGCCUUCUAUUCAAUUCGGAAAAGAAGAAAUGUAUCGAUAGAAUCGCUGAGGAUUGGCAAGAUUUAUCUUCGAAUGCGGAAAUUGAGCUAUUGAAGGCGUUUACCGUUCAAGGACAAAAGUUAGCUUUCGUUUACUUAUUUCACGCGUCAUUUACCGGCUUCAUGUUUUUGCUGCAAUCAAUCGUGCUGAGCUUCAAUUCUGAUAAUUCAACAAAUAUAAUCUCUACUGUUCCGUAUCGCGUGCGAUAUGGCAUCGAUAUAGAAAAAUAUUAUUACGAGAUACUAUUUCAUUGUUACGUUUCCGUAUUUUCCCAUAUGCUCAUUUUAUCUUCCAUAAAUUUAAUAUACAUCUCGUUUAUUCAACACGCCUGUGGAUUAUUUUCCGUAAUCGGAUAUCAAUUGGAACAUAUUGGCAAUGAAGAACGUUUGGACGUUGAUCUGAAUAUUAAAAGGGUCGAUGAUAAUAAUUAUCAUAUUGCUUUGAAUUUGAGAUUGUCUACGAAAACAUAUUAAAGUUAUAGAGUUCGUAUCAAUAUUAAAUUAUUUUGUCUUUUUUCAAUUCAAUUUGAAAUUACAAUUUUAUAGAUUUUCCGAGUUCAUAGAUGGAUCAUUCUCGGUUAGUUAUUUAUUUAACUUGGGAUUAUUCGUGUUAAUUUUAGCCGUUUCUGGUACUCAGGUAAAACGAUAAAAUAAAUAUUAUAUGUAAUUAGAAAAAUUAUUUUUGUUAUAACAAAAAUUACUGUUUAAUCUAAUAAAAAUGAACUAUUUAUCACUCUACAGGUACUAAUGCAUUCCGAUCAAAUAAAUGAAGCUGUGUGAUACGGCAGUCUUUUUAUCUCUAUACUUAUACAAAUAUUCUGGCAAUGCUGGCAAGCACAGCGCUUAUUGAAUUGUAGUAAUAUGCCUUACGAGGGCGUGUGAGUUAAAUUCGUCACGUUAAAUCUAUUUAAAUUUUAAUAAAUAUUUAUACAA